GAACGCUGGCGGCGUGCUUAAUACAUGCAAGUCGAACGUUAAGUGUAGCAAUACACUGAAAGUGGCGAACGGGUGAGUAACACGUAAGUAAUCUGCCUUUAAGACUGGGAUAACCUUGCCAACGCGGGGCUAAUACCGGAUGUGGUCAGUUGGACGCAUGUCUGAUUGAUUAAAGGAGUGAUCCGCUUAAAGAUGAACUUGCGGCCCAUUAGCUUGUUGGCGGGGUAACGGCCCACCAAGGCUGCGAUGGGUAGCCGGCCUGAGAGGGUGUACGGCCACAUUGGGACUGAGAUACGGCCCAGACUCCUACGGGAGGCAGCAGUAGGGAAUUUUGCGCAAUGGACGAAAGUCUGACGCAGCAACGCCGCGUGAGGGAUGAAGGCCUUCGGGUUGUAAACCUCUGUUGGGUAGGAAAAAAAGGUAGCAAUACUUUGAUGGUACUACCUGAGGAAGCACCGGCUAACUACGUGCCAGCAGCCGCGGUAAUACGUAGGGUGCAAGCGUUGUUCGGAAUCACUGGGCGUAAAGAGAGCGUAGGCGGGAUUGUAAGUUAGAAGUUUAAUACAUGGGCUUAACCCGUGGCUGGCUUUUAAUACUGCAGUUCUUGAGUAUGGGAGAGGGCGAUGGAAUUCCAGGUGUAGCGGUGGAAUGCGUAGAUAUCUGGAAGAACACCAGUAGCGAAGGCGGUCGCCUGGCCUAAUACUGACGCUGAGGCUCGAAAGCUAGGGGAGCAAACAGGAUUAGAUACCCUGGUAGUCCUAGCCGUAAACGAUGAACACUAGUUGCCGGAGGAGUCAAUCUUUUUGGUGACGAAGCUAACGCAUUAAGUGUUCCGCCUGGGAAGUACGCUCGCAGAAGUGAAACUCAAGGAAUUGACGA
rnacentral:rRNA from 1 species